AUCCUAAAACCCUCAACGUCUGGAUAAGAAUAAGGAAUCGUCUUCUAGAAGUUGUGCAAGUAAGAUUGCCACUCUCAAUCGAGCUUCAUCCUUUUAUACUUCCAAAAAGACUUUAUUUAAUAUAUUUUCUCAAAUGAUUAUGGAUUAUGGCUCUCUCGCUCUUUUGGCGGCGUGCAUUAUUGCACUCGUCAUUGGUAUCCUCUCAGUCUUCCUGAUCGCCUUUUUUUGCAAUAUGGAAGCAGAAGACGUUCCUAUAGAGCCUCAUGAAUCAGAGGGACUCACGAGAAACAUGUCUCCUGUACCAUGCUCAUCCACAAGUGAUUCAACAUUUCUCAUGUGUACAGCGGUGUGAAGGUGUAUUGCCAAUAUAUACCAUUCUUUGUUCAAUGUAACAGGCUCAAAGUGAUGUUUUUCUCGUAGCAACAGCAUCGGCUGCCGGGAUAUUCAUUUCUGUAUGUAUUCAACGUCUCCAACCAAAUAAAUAUCACCACAAAAAAUGCAUUUAUAUCAAGCAAAUUCUCACAGUUUAAUAUCAUUUUUGCAUGUUUCUGAACUACUCCCUGAUUUGGUGUUAGCACCAGAAUGAAUGCAUUUACGUCAUUAUAUAGCCAGUCAUCCAAUCAGAAUGCGUGAUGUAUAAAAUUUCCUGAAUGGAUAAAAAAAAAAGAGAGCUUAAGGUUGUGAUGACAGUAAUUUUCUUCCUCAUUGCUGCAGUUGUUUGGUUUUCCAAAAUUCUAUGUAUGCUUUUAUGCAUUCCUAUGUAUGCUUUUUUUCUUUCCUUAUUUGACUAUACUCCUUUAA